GGAGCGGUAGCUCAAUUGGUUAGAGCACCGGCCUGUCACGCCGGAGGUUGCGGGUUCGAUUCCCGUCCGCUUCG
rfam:Rubritalea squalenifaciens DSM 18772 genome assembly, contig: EJ93DRAFT_scaffold00002.2